rnacentral:lncRNA from 1 species
GAGAGGCCAGGUUGCCGGGGACUGGUGGGGGCGCGGGGACCCAGAAGCCGCAAGCCAGGCACAGGGCAGGUGCCGCUCAGCCCACUGUCUGCAGGAUGUGCCGUUUCGAGUGGCAGCGUGACUGCCCUGCUGUGUGUUCCUGCCUGCUUUCAUUUGCUCAUUUUCAGCCACAGAGAAUUUCCUGUCCUCCACAUUCUCCACAAUCGCUACAGGAGAAAGACUCUUCCAGGACACAGUGAGCCGGGCUGUCUCAGACCAUCUCAGAGGGGCCAUCUGCCCAGGGUGACUCCAGCAGUAACAUCGCCAUCUACUGGGCCGCAGAAGGGGACAGCGCCAGGAGCGAGCUCCAAAGUGCCCUCAGAAGGGACCCAGGGCUUUGGGGACCAAGUGACCAGAAGAAAACACUCCACCACAUGCGCGGGAGCAGAUGCAGCCUCUUUCUUGCAUUUCUGGUUUAUGGUAACUGUAGGAAUUGGUUCUAACCUAUUACAGGACCCCCUGCAAAGCCCCUCCCCAAAAGAGAGGUUUUUCAUGGAGAAAACUAGUGUUCAUUUUAGGGGUUUUGUACUAGCCGUACCUUACCUUUCUGAUGGAAGUUGGUUUCCCCCCUCACCAGGCAGCUCCCACCGCCGUCCCUGUGCACUUGCUGGGGCUGGGACGUGGGGGAUACAGGUAUACGCGUGCACACUCACACACGCAUGCACACACCCCACUUCUUGGCACAGAGCUCUGCAAUCCCUCCUGGACCCUGACAAGGCUUCCAGAACACAGCACCAAACUAGGAUAACCCAAAUAUUAUUCUAAAUUCUUUUUUCAGGCACUUAAGCAAAAUAACUUUCAUUUUUUCAAGUUUAUGUAACUUUUCUUUAUGAACACGAAGCGUCAAGUUCGGACUUUACAUACGCUUGAUGUCGAUUUCUGAAUUUUCUUACACAAAUGACCACACUCCUUCCCUGAUCUCGCGCCUAACAUCCUGCGCUGGUUCUCGGAUGAAGCGUCGAUUAUUUUCUCUUUGUAAAUAAAGGCCGGGCAUCUUGGUCUGAAGAAGGCGCGAUGGUGUGUGGAGCCUCCCGUAUCAAUGGGCAAGUUUCCCACAGGGAAAGUGAUGACCGCCCAGAUCGACCACGGGCAUGUCCUCUGCACUCUCCUCACAGUUUCCACCAGGUGCUCAGAAGGUCUUUAAAACAGACAACUUACAAUUACAAACAAAAAUGACAGUUAAAUGUAGUAUCACAAUUCACCUAUUUUUAAAGACUUUUUUUCAACUGAAUCUUAUUUCUCUUCAUUACAUCUCACAAAGAAAAAAAAAAAUCAAAUCAAGUGUCCCAGAGCCUGCAGCCAGACCUGUUACUGCAUUACUGUCACAAAGUACUUCAUUUUGUGUGUGUGUGUGUGUGUGUGUGUGUGUGUGUGUGUACCAAACUAUUUACAUUUUGUAACUUAAUUUCUCACUCGAUAGAGUUUGAAAGAUCUGGACAUUAUAAAGGAAAACUCAUUUUCUGCUGGAAUGAAAUGAGAAAAUGAAAAAUUUAAAAAUUCAUUUUAUUAGGUAAAUUCAGUAGGGACACGUCGUUAGCCCCUGAAAUAAGCCAGGCUGCUCUGUUUACUUUCUCCAUCUUUCGGGGCCUUAAAUGAAAAGUGCAGCCCCCUCCCACCUGAUGUUUGCGUAGGAACCCUAGAGCCUCCUUUCCCAGUCGGUGCCGGGGCUGAGGCCGAGCCCCGAAAGUCGGCCUGGACGGAGGGACACGGAGGGUCGGGUCCUGGGGGAGACGGGGCACUCACGGUUCCGGGUCCGCGUCCCUGGUCCUGACUCCAAAGGGAAUGUGGAGCUUUUGUGUAGAACCAGAACAAAUAUCCAGGAAGUUGGCAAAGUCACUAACUAAACAGUCAAUAGUGGAAGUACAGCAAAAGAGAACAAAUUCAGGCUUUCUCUGUAAAGGGGGAGAGAGCGAGCGGAGACUCGCUGAACCAGCGCGUCCGACGCCUCCCAACCCGCGCGCGGCCCAGGUGGACCCGGAGCUCGCCGAUUGCACCGCGCCUGGGGGCCGAGGACCCCGGAUUCACUGUGUAUCGCCGGAGCUCCUGACGCCGGAUCAGAAAUAGGUUCCCUGUGAAAAUACACUGAGAACCCAGUGACCCCCACCCCUACCGAGGCCUUCGGUGACAGGAAAUGUUAACCAUUUUCAGCACUUUUUAUUUGCAAGCGCUCUGCCCUGAGAGAAGCGCGCAUUUAAUGAUCAAUCCUGAAAUUAGGAUCCAUGAGAGAUUGGAUGAGGGGUCUCUGAGGGUGGGGGUGGCGCGCUGGGCCCCAAGGGAGCCCUGGGGACAGGGGUGGCUGUGCUCUACAGAAACAAAGCAGUGCAUCUGUUGCAGCAGAGCUCCAUUGCAAACUCUCUCUGUUGCUGGUAAACUCAGAGCCGUCCCUUCCACUCCUCAGCUGGGUCAUCUUAAGGAAAAUGCCUGCCUUGCAGGGUUUAUGAUUCAGAGGAAAAAAAGAAAAGAAAAAAGAGAUUUUCCCCAAAAUUAACUAAACACCGAAGCUCAGAAACACACGGAAUGUGUACAGCGUUGUCCUUCAAAACUCCGCUGCAAAUGUGUUUCAG